rnacentral:sRNA from 1 species
CCGGCUCAAGCCUCGGGCUACUUCCUCCAACUCUAACCAUGCCGCACCCCCCAUGGUUAGUUGAUGGCCUCCCUGGCAGGUGUUCAAGGCCAAGUUCAAGAAUUGGGACGAUGUGUUGACGGUGGACUACACACGCAACGCGGAGGCCGUGCUGCAGAGCCCGGGUCUCUCCGGGAAGGUGAAACGCGACGCCGAGAAGAAAGACCAGAUGAAGGCUGACCUUACUGCGCUUUUCCUGCCGCGGCAGCCGCCCAUGUCGCUGGCCGAGGCGGAGCAGCUGAUGGAAGAGUGGAACGAAGACCUAGACGGCAUGGAGGGUUUCGUGCUGGAGGGCAAGAAGUUUGCGCGGCUGCCAGAAGAGGAGUUUGGCCACUUCUACACGCAAGACUGCUACGUCUUCCUCUGCAGGUACUGGGUGCCCGUGGAGUACGAGGAGGAGGAAAAGAAGGAAGACAAGGAGGAGGAGAAGGCUGAGGGCAAAGAAGGCGAGGAGGCAACAGCUGAGGCAGAGGAGAAGCAGCCAGAGGAGGACUUCCAGUGCAUCGUGUACUUCUGGCAAGGCCGUGAAGCCUCCAACAUGGGCUGGCUCACCUUCACCUUCAGCCUGCAAAAGAAGUUCGAGAGCCUCUUCCCUGGGAAGCUGGAGGUGUGCCUGGCAGCCCCGCGAGCCCGAGGCCAGGCGGAGGGGUGUGGUG